GAAGAUCAAUAACAUCAAUAAUAUUAAAGCUGGAGGCGCUCAAGCUGUGCUUGACUCAGUUUACAUGUGUGGAUGUGUUCUGGCUCGUGGAAAGUUUAGUGAAGCAAAGUUACAAGUUACGAGGGACCAAAAUUCACCUCAAUUACCAUAGUUACCGUGGCCACGCCCCUUUGAAUCUGCGAGACCUUUGGAUACAUUUUCAUCCUUGAUGAGUCCAGCACAAACUGACCCGGGUUCUGUGUGCGGAUGAUUAACGAACAUUCUAAAUGCUGACUUGAGUUUUACUGUUCAUGGGAUCAUUUUGUGACGCAAUGACAACUUCGGGAGCUGAAAAUCGCCACCUUGUGUCCGGCUCCGUCUAUUGUUGUGAAACCGAACAAGACGACGGUUUCUUCUCUGCAGUUACUUCUGUUGUGUCCAGCGCUCCCAUCGCGCCACAAAAUGUACAAAAUCAUCAAGACGAUGGACGAGGAGCGACGUUGAGUCACCGCAUUAGACACAUCCCCUCACUCUCCACUUUGAAGACACAUCUUGAAACCAAAUUUUUACUCUUUGACCUUCGACCCAGUAUGAUAAUAUUGUUUAUUUGUGUAUUUACACUUUCAACAGUGCUUUUAUUGUGUGUGUUUAGGUCUGUAAGACAGUGAGGCCACACCCUGGAGACAAUAGGAGGUUUUCCCCAGACCAAACGUCAUCCCUCUAUGUAUAUUCUGCCCUGUGAUUAUCUGUAAAUUAAUUAACCACCUAGUUUCAAACGUCAACAGUUGGGGACCGUCUCCCACCACUCUGAAGUGUAAACACCAUCUCUCAUUUGAAGUGUGUAGGUCUGAUGGUCUCAGUGCAGGAAGUAGACAGGUCAAGGAGGCUCAGUUGUCGUGUGAAUGGUGGUCAAAAAAGUCCUCAGACGUGUAAAUGUCAAUGUAUGUGUGGAUGAGAAGUGUCUCCGUGCUGGUUGGGACAGUUGGUCUGCUUAUCAGAAGCUCCCACAUAUCAGCUGCGUGUCACAUGACUUAUAAACCUGAUACCACUGAAGCCAGACCCGGAUCAUCGUGUGCGUGGGACUGACCGGAUUUUGGCAGAGGAUAUUUGGAGCUGUAAUAUUGCUCGAAGAACUUCAGGAUGGUUCCGGUUUUGUUGAGUGCGUAGUCUCCUUGUCCGGCAUCGAUAGCAGGCUUGCGGGCGAAGAUUCGGAUC